AGGGAUGUAGCUGAGUUGGUACAGUGCUUGCCUCAUAUGCAUAAGGCCCUGGGUUCAGUUCCCAGUACCACCA
rfam:Ictidomys tridecemlineatus contig072695, whole genome shotgun sequence.